GGGUUUGUGGCUCAGUGGUUAGAGCCUAGCACUUGGGAGUGAAAGGUCCCGGGUUCGAAUGUCGCGAGAGGCA
rnacentral:tRNA from 1 species